UGGGGAAUUUUGGACAAUGGGCGAAAGCCUGAUCCAGCAAUGCCGCGUGUGUGAAGAAGGCCUUCGGGUUGUAAAGCACUUUUGUCCAGAAAGAAAUCCUUGGCUCUAAUACAGUCGGGGGAUGACGGUACCGGAAGAAUAAGCACCGGCUAACUACGUGCCAGCAGCCGCGGUAAUACGUAGGGUGCAAGCGUUAAUCGGAAUUACUGGGCGUAAAGCGUGCGCAGGCGGUUUGCUAAGACCGAUGUGAAAUCCCCGGGCUCAACCUGGGAACUGCAUUGGUGACUGGCAGGCUAGAGUAUGGCAGAGGGGGGUAGAAUUCCACGUGUAGCAGUGAAAUGCGUAGAGAUGUGGAGGAAUACCGAUGGCGAAGGCAGCCCCCUGGGCCAAUACUGACGCUCAUGCACGAAAGCGUGGGGAGCAAAC
rnacentral:rRNA from 1 species